rnacentral:rRNA from 1 species
AUUGAACGCUGGCGGCAGGCCUAACACAUGCAAGUCGAGCGGGGACUUCGGUCCUAGCGGCGAACGGGUGAGUAAUGCUUGGGAAUCUGCCCAGUAGUGGGGGAUAACGUCCCGAAAGGGACGCUAAUACCGCAUACGUCCUACGGGAGAAAGAGGGGGAUCUUCGGACCUCUCGCUAUUGGAUGAGCCCAAGUCGGAUUAGCUAGUUGGUAGGGUAAUGGCCUACCAAGGCGACGAUCCGUAGCUGGUCUGAGAGGAUGAUCAGCCACACUGGAACUGAGACACGGUCCAGACUCCUACGGGAGGCAGCAGUGGGGAAUAUUGGACAAUGGGCGAAAGCCUGAUCCAGCCAUGCCGCGUGUGUGAAGAAGGCCUUCGGGUUGUAAAGCACUUUAAGUGGGGAGGAAGGUUCGCGGCCUAAUACGUCGCGGAAUUGACGUUACCCGCAGAAUAAGCACCGGCUAACUCUGUG